rnacentral:misc_RNA from 1 species
CAGAGAACAUCGCCCGCAAGGGUGACUCUCCAACCCAAUGUUAAUCAUACUUUUUUGCUUUGGCGAGCCGCUUCGGCCACUGGCUUCUCGCUGGUGAGUGCUCGCCAGGGGGACCCUAUACUCUGUUUAUAUGUGUCGUCUGAGUACUAUAUAAUAGUUA